rnacentral:rRNA from 1 species
CAGCCGCCGCGGUAAUACGUAGGUGGCGAGCGUUGUCCGGAAUUACUGGGCGUAAAGCGUGCGCAGGCGGUUAUAUAAGUCAGAUGUGAAAUCCCCGGGCUCAACCUGGGAACUGCAUUUGAGGCUGUAUGGCUAGAGUGUGUCAGAGGGGGGUAGAAUUCCACGUGUAGCAGUGAAAUGCGUAGAUAUGUGGAGGAAUACCGAUGGCGAAGGCAGCCCCCUGGGAUAACACUGACGCUCAUGCACGAAAGCGUGGGGAGCAAACAGGAUUAGAUACCCCCGUAGUCCCUGUCUCUUAUAC